rnacentral:rRNA from 1 species
AUACCCGCUCCGCGAGUGGUGAGGACUAUUACUGGGCUUAAAGCGCCCGUAGCCGGCCGGGUGUGUCCUCCGUUAAAUCCACAGGCCUAACCUGUGGGCUGCGGGGGAUACUACCCGGCUUGGGGGUGGGAGAGGGCGGCGGUAUUCCCGGGGUAGGGGUAAAAUCCACUGAUCCCGGGAGGACCACCAGUGGCGAAGGCGGCCGCCCAGAACACGCCCGACGGUGAGGGGCGAAAGCUGGGGGAGCAAACGGGAUUAGAAACCCUAGUAGUCC